rnacentral:rRNA from 1 species
GACGAACGCUGGCGGCGUGCUUAACACAUGCAAGUCGAACGGAAAGGCCUGCUUUCCCUUGUGGAUUGCGGGUACUCGAGUGGCGAACGGGUGAGUAACACGUGAGUGAUCUGCCCCCAACUUGGGUAUAAGCCUGGGAAACUGGGUCUAAUUCCCGAUAGGACUGCAGGGUGGUGCCUGUGGUGGAAAACGAUUUUCUAGUGGUUGGGGAUGAGCUCGCGGCCUAUCAGCUUGUUGGUGGGGUAAUGGCCUACCAAGGCGGCGACGGGUAGCCGGCCUGGGAGGGGUGACGGCGACAUUGGGACUGAGAUACGGCCCAGACUCCUACGGGAGGCAGCAGUGGGGAAUAUUGCACAAUGGGCGGAAGCCUGAUGCAGCGACGCCGCGUGGGGGAUGACGGCCUUCGGGUUGUAAACUCCUUUCGACCGCGAGGAAGCCACCUGGUUGGAAGGGUGGUGACGGUAGUGGUAGAAGAAGCACCGGCUAACUACGUG